AGCCAGUGUGGCUUGGGGGUUAGAGCGUCAGGCUAUGACCUGGGAGACCAGGGUUCAAAUCCCCACUCGGCCA